rnacentral:rRNA from 1 species
CUACAAUGGCGGUGACAGAGUGCGGCAAACCCGCGAGGGUGAGCUAAUCUCCAAAAGCCGUCUCAGUUCGGAUUGUUCUCUGCAACUCGAGAGCAUGAAGGCGGAAUCGCUAGUAAUCGCGGAUCAGCAUGCCGCGGUGAAUACGUUCCCAGGCCUUGUACACACCGCCCGUCACACCAUGGGAGUUGGAUUCACCCGAAGGCAGUGCGCUAACCGCAAGGAGGCAGCUGACCACGGUGGGUUCAGCGACUGGGGUGAAGUCGUAACAAGG